ensembl:lncRNA
CCGGCCAGCAGCGCCCUGGGUGGGGGCGAUCCUCGCGCGGCCCCCGCGCCUCCGACGGUGGGGUGGGACCUACCUUCCGUGGGGGGCGGGACAGCUCGAGCUAGCUUCUGCAAAACACUUGGACGCUUGCUCCUUGGAAGAAAAGCUAUGACUGACCUAGACAGCGUAUUAAAAAGCAGAGACAAAGGUCCGUCUAGUCACCGACAAAGGUCCGUCUAGUCAAAGCUAUGGUUUUUCCAGUAGUCAUGUAUGGAUGUGAGAGUUGGACCAUAAAGAAAGCUGAGUGCCCAAGAAUUAAUGCUUUUGAACUGCGGUAUUGGAGAAGACUCUUGAAAGCCCUUUGGACUGCAAGGAGAUCCAACCAGUCCAUCCUAAAGGAAAUCAACCUUGAAUAUUCAUUGGAAGGUCUGAUGUUGGAGCUGAAACUCCAACACUUUGGCCACCUGAUGCGAAGAGCUGACUCAUUGGAAAAGACCCUGAUGCUGGGAAAGAUUGAGGGCAGGAGGAGAAGGGGACAACAGAGGAUGAUAUGGUUGGAUGGCAUCACCGACUCAAUGGACACGAGUUUGAGCAAACUCCAGAAGGUGAUGGACAGGGAGGCCUGGCGUGCUGCAGUCCACGG